rnacentral:rRNA from 1 species
UACGUAGGCAGCGAGCGUUGUUCGGAGUUACUGGGCGUAAAGGGUGUGUAGGCGGUUCUCUAAGUUUGGUGUGAAAUCUCCCGGCUCAACCGGGAGGGUGCGCCGAAAACUGGAGGGCUAGAGUGCGGGAAGGGAGAGUAGAAUUCCUGGUGUAGCGGUGAAAUGCGUAGAUAUCAGGAGGAAUACCGGUGGUGUAGACGGCUCUCUGGACCGCGACUGACGCUGAGACACGAAAGCGUGGUAGCAAACAGG